CUGAAUACUUUCCGUACCCACUGUAUUUAUAGUUGACCGGGAAAUGACGUGAUAUUGAAAAGCCAUGGAUUUAUAGUUGACCAGGAAAUACUGUAUGAUUGAAAAGUCAAUGCAGCAUUAUUGACCGGGAGACCAUCGUUUGGUGGAUCAACGUUCCUGAACCCCACACAUCUCCAAGUCCACAUCAGAUGCCCUGACUGAACCAUUGGGGACAGAAGUCUUUGACUUUGCCUAGGCAGCACAAAAAUGGAUUCCUAUGCUCCAGACCUGAUGGGUGAACAGGAGUAGAGAAUAAUUUUUUUUAUUCCAUAAUUAAACUUGUAUUUUUUAACUGA